GAGUUUGAUCUUGGCUCAGAUUGAACGCUGGCGGCAUGCCUUACACAUGCAAGUCGAACGGCAGCAUGAUCUAGCUUGCUAGAUUGAUGGCGAGUGGCGAACGGGUGAGUAAUACAUCGGAACGUGCCCUGUAGUGGGGGAUAACUAGUCGAAAGAUUAGCUAAUACCGCAUACGACCUGAGGGUGAAAGUGGGGGACCGCAAGGCCUCAUGCUAUAGGAGCGGCCGAUGUCUGAUUAGCUAGUUGGUGGGGUAAAGGCCCACCAAGGCGACGAUCAGUAGCUGGUCUGAGAGGACGAUCAGCCACACUGGGACUGAGACACGGCCCAGACUCCUACGGGAGGCGAGCAGUGGGGAAUUUUGGACAAUGGGCGAAAGCCUGAUCCAGCAAUGCGCGUGUGUGAAGAA
rnacentral:rRNA from 1 species